AUAAGACUGGAAUAACUCCGGGAAACCGGGGCUAAUGCCGGAUAACAUUUAGAACCGCAUGGUUCUAAAGUGAAAGAUGGUUUUGCUAUCACUUAUAGAUGGACCCGCGCCGUAUUAGCUAGUUGGUAAGGUAACGGCUUACCAAGGCAACGAUACGUAGCCGACCUGAGAGGGUGAUCGGCCACACUGGAACUGAGACACGGUCCAGACUCCUACGGGAGGCAGCAGUAGGGAAUCUUCCGCAAUGGGCGAAAGCCUGACGGAGCAACGCCGCGUGAGUGAUGAAGGUCUUCGGAUCGUAAAACUCUGUUAUUAGGGAAGAACAAAUGUGUAAGUAACUAUGCACGUCUUGACGGUACCUAAUCAGAAAGCCACGGCUAACUACGUGCCAGCAGCCGCGGUAAUACGUAGGUGGCAAGCGUUAUCCGGAAUUAUUGGGCGUAAAGCGCGCGUAGGCGGUUUCUUAAGUCUGAUGUGAAAGCCCACGGCUCAACCGUGGAGGGUCAUUGGAAACUGGGAAACUUGAGUGCAGAAGAGGAAAGUGGAAUUCCAUGUGUAGCGGUGAAAUGCGCAGAGAUAUGGAGGAACACCAGUGGCGAAGGCGACUUUCUGGUCUGUAACUGACGCUGAUGUGCGAAAGCGUGGGGAUCAAACAGGAUUAGAUACCCUGGUAGUCCACGCCGUAAACGAUGAGUGCUAA
rnacentral:rRNA from 1 species